UGCAGGCUGCAACUCGCCUGCAUGAAGCUGGAAUUGCUAGUAAUCGCGGAUCAGCAAGCCGCGGUGAAUACGUUCCCGGGCCUUGUACACACCGCCCGUCACACCAUGAGAGCCGGGGGACCCGAAGUCCGUAGCUUAACCGUAAGGAGGGCGCGGCCGAAGGUAAAACUGGUGAUUGGGGUGAAGUCGUAACAAGGUAAC
rnacentral:rRNA from 1 species